rnacentral:rRNA from 1 species
ACGAACGCUGGCGGCGUGCUUAACACCUGCAAGUCGAACGGAAAGGCCCUGCUUUUGUGGGGUGCUCGAGUGGCGAACGGGUGAGUAACACGUGAGUAACCUGCCCUUGACUUUGGGAUAACUUCAGGAAACUGGGGCUAAUACCAGAUAGGAGCUCCUGCUGCAUGGUGGGGGUUGGAAAGUUUCGGCGGUUGGGGAUGGACUCGCGGCUUAUCAGCUUGUUGGUGGGGUAGUGGCUUACCAAGGCUUUGACGGGUAGCCGGCCUGAGAGGGUGACCGGCCACAUUGGGACUGAGAUACGGCCCAGACUCCUACGGGAGGCAGCAGUGGGGAAUAUUGCACAAUGGGCGGAAGCCUGAUGCAGCAACGCCGCGUGCGGGAUGACGGCCUUCGGGUUGUAAACCGCUUUCGCCUGUGACGAAGCGUGAGUGACGGUAAUGGGUAAAGAAGCACCGGCUAACUACGUG